UGUGGGCCGGGCCGGGGCCUCUCCACCCCCAGUUUCCGGCUAUGGGUGGACCAUCUGGCUCUCCUCAACCGCAAACCCCUCCUUCCUGCUUUGCCCUCCCUCCCUUGAGCCCCAGAAGCCAGCUGAAGUUCGUAGAGGCCUGACACCUGACUUCUCUCUUCUUCCGGAAGUUUUCAUUGUCCCCAGGGCGAGUGGGUGGUUCUUGUUGGGGGAAGGCCCUGGAACACCAUGUUCAGGACUUCUUGGGGUGCCCAGGGAGAUGGGGAGAGGGCGGGAGCUUCGCAGACUUUUGCCUCCGAGAGAGGUUUUCCCACCGCUGCCCUGACGUUGAUGCCCAGCCUAGAGGUGUUACUGUUAGAAUGAAGAAAAAAAUAUCCCUAUACUGCGGAACAAGGAGAACCUGAUCAUGAUAAAAAUAAGAAGGUGGAAGUGGAGUGUGAAUGACUGAAGUCUGGGGAAAUACAUGAAAGAAACUGAGCUGAGCUGGAUGGAAUUAAGACCCUUACAGAUCCUAAGCUCCGAAAAGAUUGUGGUGCACACCUCUAAUGUAAAGGCUUCAAGACAGAAACAAUACUAACGGUUGUUAAGACCCUGAAAAGUAAGUGCUGAGAGUCCUAUGUAGCAUUUUCUAUAUUUCAAUCAAGGAGCCACUCAAUGAACCCCACUGACUACUAAAAUGAUGAGUAGGCUUUUAUACCAGAGCUGGAGCAAAGAACUGCAGGCUAAAUAGGUAGGUGGAAGCUGAUAGCUACACCAAAUAGAGGACUUCUAGAUAGUUGAGAGGCAAACCAUUAAAAAGUGAAAAAAGAUGGCUUGAGGCAUCCCCUCCCCAGGUGAGCUUGAGAAAGAGAAGGAUAUGCCUCUAACUAGGCCACUGGAUGAGUAAAGAACACAGUGACUUUGGGCCGGGCUGGUUAGCUUUGGUUCUCCCUCUGAUUAUCACAUUCCCUCAUCCCCCCAUGGUGACCUGGAAUCCUGGAUUUUUCUGGAACUUUACAACUUCAGAUAUUUCCCUUAAACCAGUGAGAUGUUCCAGAAAAAGAGCAGACUAUGUAUCUCCAUCCUUUUCCAAUGCUUUGUCCCAUGUUGUAUCCAUGCCCAGAUCUGUAUCCUUCCCAACAAACAACAAAAGUGCAGGAUAUAAGAAUUAGGCCCUGAACUGGAAAGGCAGUGGGAAGAAGAGGAUAAGGCUAAAGAGAGAGCUGAGCCGAAUAUAACAAAAAAGAAACAGACUCACAGAUUCUCUAACAAACUAGUGGUUACCAGUGAGGAGAGGGAAGCAGGUGAGGUGAUU